UCGCUGUGAAGAUGCAGUGUAUCCGCGGCUAGACGGAAAGACCCCGUGAACCUUUACUAUAGCUUUGCACUGGACUUUGAAUUUGCUUGUGUAGGAUAGGUGGGAGGCUUUGAAGUGGGGACGCCAGUUCUCAUGGAGCCAUCCUUGAAAUACCACCCUGGCAACUUUGAGGUUCUAACUCAGGUCCGUUAUCCGGAUCGAGGACAGUGUAUGGUGGGUAGUUUGACUGGGGCGGUCUCCUCCCAAAGAGUAACGGAGGAGUACGAAGGUGCGCUCAGACCGGUCGGAAAUCGGUCGUAGAGUAUAAAGGCAAAAGCGCGCUUGACUGCGAGACAAACACGUCGAGCAGGUACGAAAGUAGGUCUUAGUGAUCCGGUGGUUCUGUAUGGAAGGGCCAUCGCUCAA
rnacentral:rRNA from 1 species